CAGAGAGUCAGUCAGGGAGCUCUCUCUCUCUCUUUGUUGUGCUGCCCGCCUUAUGCCCAGGCUUAAGUGCCAGUGAAGCCUUGUCUGGGAAACCGUUUUUGGCCUCAUGUCAAUUUCUAUUGCAUUGAGGGCCCAAGAACAAUGAUUGGUAACAUAUUCUUUUGGGGCUUGACUGGGAUCAUGGGGAAGUAUUUUCUUCCCCAAUGUGGGAGGCUCGUGAGCCAGCAGGACUGCUGAACGUGACCACUUCGUGGCUGUUGGGUGGCCACCUGAAUCUUUAUUCAGAUGUGCAGAUGACGUCUCUCCACCCCCUCAACUUAUCUCAUCCAGGAGUCAAAGGAGAACAAAGAUUGAGGUGGAGAACUGCAUCCACAGUAGAACUUCCAGCAACUCUCAGGAGAACUAGCAACCACUUUAGGUACCUGCCAGUGCCCACUGAGCCCCAUGAUCUCUCCAGGUGUGGCUAAGGUCUCUCUCUCUGAUCCUGAGCCCCACUAAUUUUGUGUUUUGAGGUCUCUGAG
rnacentral:lncRNA from 1 species